AUUGAACGCUGGCGGCAGGCCUAACACAUGCAAGUCGAACGAGUGGCGGACGGGUGAGUAAUGUCUGGGAAACUGCCUGAUGGAGGGGGAUAACUACUGGAAACGGUAGCUAAUACCGCAUACCAUCAGAUGUGCCCAGAUGGGAUUAGCUUGUUGGUGGGGUAACGGCUCACCAAGGCGACGAUCCCUAGCUGGUCUGAGAGGAUGACCAGCCAACCUGGAAAUUAGAAACGGUCCAGACUCCUAAGGGAGGCAGCAGGUGGGAAUAUUGAACAAUGGGCGCAAGCCUGAUGCAGCCAUGCCGCGUGUAUGAAGAAGGCCUUCGGGUUGUAAAGGACUUUCAGCGGGGAGGCGUUACCCGCAGAAGAAGCACCGGCUAACUCCGUGCCAGCCGACGCGGUAAUUC
rnacentral:rRNA from 1 species